AAUAGAUACCCCGGUAGUCCACGCCCUAAACGAUGUCAACUAGUUGUCGGGUCUUAAUUGACUUGGUAACGCAGCUAACGCGUGAAGUUGACCGCCUGGGGAGUACGGUCGCAAGAUUAAAACUCAAAGGAAUUGACGGGGACCCGCACAAGCGGUGGAUGAUGUGGAUUAAUUCGAUGCAACGCGAAAAACCUUACCUACCCUUGACAUGGCAGGAAUCCUGAAGAGAUUUGGGAGUGCUCGAAAGAGAACCUGCACACAGGUGCUGCAUGGCUGUCGUCAGCUCGUGUCGUGAGAUGUUGGGUUAAGUCCCGCAACGAGCGCAACCCUUGUCAUUAGUUGCUACGAAAGGGCACUCUAAUGAGACUGCCGGUGACAAACCGGAGGAAGGUGGGGAUGACGUCAAGUCCUCAUGGCCCUUAUGGGUAGGGCUUCACACGUGCUACAAUGGCCGGUACAGAGCGUUGCCAACCCGCGAGGGGGAGCUAAUCGCAUAAAACCCGGUCUCAGUUCAGAUUGGAGU
rnacentral:rRNA from 1 species